UUUUUUUUUUUUUUUUUAAACUAAACAAUAGCUCUGAUCUAAGUUUGCUGAGUGUUUUAAAAGUUAAUAAAUGUAAACUGCAGGUGGCCCCUAAACAUUAUAGUGAAGGGGGAAGUUUAGGCGUGCCAACCACCCGUGUAGUUGAGCAUUGUGUAUAACUUUACAAUUGGCCCUUGGUAUCCAAAUUUCCAUAUAUGCCGAUUCAACCAACCUCAGGAUGGGUAGUGAUAUACUAUGUAUUUAUUGAAAAAAAUCUGCAUAUAAGUGAGCCCGCACAGUUUAAACCUGUGUUGUUCAAGGUCCAAACUGUACUUAGAAGAAUUAAGCUUAUAUGUAAAUGCCCGAUAAAUGUUAGCAGUUAGACAAUGCAGUAUAAAAGCACAGAGGGCAGGACUUCCCAUUGUGGAUCAGUGGGUUAAGGAUCUGAUGUUGUCUCCAUGAGGAUGUGGGUUCUAUUCCUGGCCUAGCUCAGUGAGUUAAGGAUUCACAUUGCCACAAACUGCAGCAUGGGUCUCAGAUGAGGCUUGGAUCUAAUGUUUCUAUUGCUGUGACUUAAGCCUCAGCUGCAGUCAAAUUCAACCCCUAGCUCAGGAAGUUCCAUAUGUUGCAGGUGGGGCUUUAAAAAGAAAAAAAAAAAUACAGAGGGUUGUCUUUAGAGCCAGAUUUCCUGCAUCAAGUCCCAGCAAGACCACUUGUUAUCUGGGUAGCCUUGGACAAGAUCCUUCAGCCCUCCAUGUCUCAGUUGCCUCAUCUGUAAAAUAAGAACGACAGAUUCUUUCUCAUAGAUCUGUUGUAAGUAUCACAGAUACAUGUGAAAAUUUUAGAAUGGCAUCUAGGGCAGAGAAUUUGGUCAAAAAAUAACAGCUAUUAGGAAGUUAUUAUCACUGCUAUUACCGGUAUAUUUAUCUAUCAGCAUAUUGGAUUCUAAUAUUUGAGUAUUAUUGCUUAUUGUGAUGAUGAUAUAUAUACCUGCUAUCCAUGAAAAAGGCUUCAGGGAGCUAGGCCUCAUCCCCAUUGUACAGAGCUGUAUCUAAGACCAGAGAAGUUGCUAACUUCCCUAAGGUCACACAGCCAGAGUUGCAUUUCAUGUCCCUGACUGUCUUACCCUAAAGCUGAAUUUCUUUCCAUUCCUUAAACAGCUGAGAUAUGUAAUCUACAGGGUGGAGAAAAUAACUAGGAAGUAUAGCACUAACCCUAUCUGUUAGGUAUAUGAACACUGCAUAAAUUUCUAGAGGCUGUUUUCUGACUCUUGUAAUAAUGUUGUGGCUUAUUAUUUAUAUUUAUUUUUAAAAAAACUAAGUAGUCUAAUGCACACCACUUCCUUUGUUCUUCUUCAGUCUCUGAGGUGAGCAGAGCAGAUUUGAUUCUACCACUAGGCAGAGGAAUCCAGGAAACCUGAGUAACUUGCUCAGAAUCACCCAGCAGAAUAAGGUGUAGCAGGUAUGACCAUCAUCCUCAUUUUCAAAGCCCGUGUUUCUUUUCUGACCCAUGGCACUUCCCUCAUUAUAAAUACAUUCCUUCCUAAGAGCUUCCAACAUGGUCUGCUUUGGUUUUUAUUAAAUUAAGUGUGGUGUCCACAUCCAAAGACAACUCAAGUGUUCUGUCUUAUAAAAAUUCCCCCACAUUGGAUUUUUCUUUCCCGUCUAUCUCUAAGAUAAUAAAAACAAUAAUUCACAAAUCCAGGGGCGAGAUUAGCAAAACAAACUUUGCUGUUAUUUUUGAGCUAUAAGCAGAGCAAAGCAAGCGCCAUAAUUGCUAGCAAAUGUUCUGUACCCUAUACUAUUUCAUCAGCUAAUUAGAUAGCUAUAGCCACAGCAUCUCACGUUUUCUUUAGGAAUCACAGGUAUAAUUCCUACCACGUUAUUACAGUGGUUUCAGUUUUCUAUUACACUCCAAAUGCUUGUUUGGCAGGAAAAUAUAUUAUGUGCAUAUCUUUUUGGGUUUCUGAAACUGUUGCCCCUGCUUCAUGUCUCUAGACCAUCAUUAAUAUACAGUAUGCUCAUCCUUGAAUCUCUUUCCACACAAGAAAAAAAAAAAAGGUAGGAAAAUAUUUAUGGAAAAUGCUGGGUUUGGGGAUUUUAAAAAGAAAGUGCUUUGAAAGACCAGGAAGGAGUCCAAGGUGGCCUAAGACCAAAGUAUCUAUCAAAGCUGAUGGUCUCCAGCCCCAGUAGUAUAGAACGAGCUUGGAGGGAACUGCCAAUCCAAGGAUGUCAUGGGAUAGCCCCUUGCUCUCUGAAAUACCUUCCCUGGUGGUUGGAAAGGUGACAGAGUUGGGGUGGGGGCUGAAGUUUAUUCUUUCUCAAAAAGACUUAGACGUUAAUCACAGUCAGUGCAUUUUGUAACAGAAUCAGGAAAGGAAAAAAUAUUAAAAUUUGUAGAUUACAUCCCAUUUUCAUUUUUAAAAAGGUAUGCAGGAGUUCUUGUCAUGGCUCCAUGGGUUAAGAACCUGACUAGUAUCCACGAGGAUAUAGGAUUGAUCCCUAGCCUUGAUCAGUGGGUUAAGGAUCCAGCAUUGCCACAAGCUGCAGUGGAGGUUGCAGAUGCGGCUUAGAUCUGGCGUGUCUGUGGCUGUGGCAUAGUCCUCAGCUGCAGCUUCUAUUCGACCCCUAGCCUGGGAACUUUUCAUAUGCCUUGGGUGUGGCCCUAAAAAAGGGGGGAGUAUUUGGAGAAAAUGAGAGGAAAAAAUGCCUGGAAAUAUAUAUGUAUAAAUAGACUAUGGUUAUGGCUGGCUGGUUGGUCAAAAUGUUUUUGCUUACAAGACAGUCUCACCUGAAAUGAGUUUAAGUGACAAAAUAUUCAAAAAGAAGCACACUGGUUCACAGAACUUUUUGGCUCACAGAGAGGUCAUGGUUCCAGGGACCAUUCUAUUCAGGUCCUCAAACCAUCCUUGGAGAUAUCUUACUUCCCACCCUUCUUUCUCUCAACCCAGAAAACUAGAAUCUGCUUUCUUCUCUGUUCUUCACCAUGCAACACUUCAAACAUAUUAAUCAUAUGUCUCAUGGGUCCCAGAAGAAAAGAGCAUCUCUCUGUAGCUCUAGCAGAAACGCUAGGGGAGAAUCAGCCUGGUCCAGUGGCCCAUGCCUGUGGUGGGGUCAGCUCUGUGCGAACUACAUGGAUUGAGCAGGAUAACUGUGCAAUCACAUGAGUUGCCUCCUCAAAGGGAGGGAUGCCGGCAGAUAAAAAUCAUAUUUCCCCUACUUGGUGAUGAGAUUUCAUCUGCUUUUUGUUAGAUGAUUUUUUUCUAAAUAAUUUUUAAUGCGCUUCCAUUAUUUUCAGAUAAGAUUGAAAAGCUUUAAAAUAUGUUUGGAAACAUACUGUGAUGGAAAGGAAUCUGAGAGAUUUUCAGCACCCAGGAGACCUUACAUUUUUUAACAUCCAAUGUUCAAAGAAAUGAACUCUGGUCAUUUGCCAGUUUGUCCACGAGAGGCUGCCACCCACAGUUAGCGAGACCAGAGAGAAUUGCCCUAUGCCAAAAAUUAAAAUAGCACCAUUCUGUCUAUGUAUGAACUCAUUUAAUUUUCAAAAAA
rnacentral:lncRNA from 1 species